CACAGAGUAAACAGCAUCCUAAAACGCUAACAAUCAAAAGAUCUUAUAUAGGGCUAAUCCCUUCAAGUCAUUGGUGGAAUAGUGGGUGUCUUCUUAUCUUCCAAUUCUAAUUCGUCUAAAUUUUCUCUCCCCAGGUGUAGCCGCUUUACCGGAAUGAAAUGCCGGGUCCGUUCAACACAUUUAGCCACUUCCGCGUACGUCAUACGUUGCGCGUGCGUCACGUGGUAAAAUGUUCGUCACAUGACCUUUAUGCGUUCCACGCUCGGAAGAAAAACAUGGCCGUGCGUUCCAUAGCAUAAUAGACUGAAAAGUCAAUUUUCUUAUACCUGGUGGUGAUAUG